AUCUUCGGGGCAGGGUGAAAUUCCCGACCGGCGGUGAUAAGUGCAUGAUUGCUUAAAGUCCGCGAACUGCAUAGCAGCUUGCUGUGCGGUUGACCUGGUGUGAUUCCAGGACCGACAGUUACAGUCUGGAUGGGAGAAGAUG
rnacentral:ncRNA from 1 species